rnacentral:rRNA from 1 species
GACGAACGCUGGCGGCGUGCUUAACACAUGCAAGUCGAACGGAGUGGCGAACGGGUGAGUAACACGUGGGUGAUCUGCCUUGCACUCUGGGGUAAGCUCGGGGAACUGGGUCUAAUACCGGAUAGUGCAAGAUGAGCUCGCGGCCUAUCAGCUUGUUGGUGGGGUAAUGGCCUACCAAGGGGUCGACGGGUAGCCGGCCUGGGAGGGUGUAAGGCCACAUUGGGACUGAGGUACGGCCCAGGAUCCUACGGGAGGCAGCAGGGGGGAAUAUUGCAAAAGGGGCGGAAGCCUGAUGCAGCGGCGCCGCGUGGGGGAUGACGGCCUUCGGGUUGUAAACUCCUUUCGACAGGGACGCGGUACCUGUAUAAGAAGCACCGGCUAACUACGUGCCAGCAGCCGCGGUAAUAC